GCGGAAUUUCCCUGAGGACGAGUAGACGAAAGGGAAAGGCGAUUGGAAACCUGAGAUACUAAAGAAGUGAGAGCAGAAAGAAGUUUCGAAAUUUAAUGACGAAGCAAAACUCCCUGGAUUCCUUUCUGUUGAUCUGGAGAACUGACUGACAUCCUUUGACAGCUCAUUAAUUGUUCUAUUCUGAUAACUGCCCCUUUUAUUGGCAUUGAUUGAGCAACAAAAAUUAUAUGACUUAUUUAGAGGAAGCCUGCUGGUAAUGCUUCAGAUUCGAGACGGAAAAACUACAGAUUCGAAACAUAAUUCUACCGAAGAAAAGGCUUAGACGUCAUCUUUGUCCUGAGCACGAUUCAACAUUACGUAACCUUUCCAAAAGAGAUAUUGUAUUCUUUCGAAACGCGAUGUCAAUAUAAUUAAACUUUUGUUAGAUUUACCUCUUAAUUAAAUACAGGGUGUCCCAAAAAAAUGUAUACACAUUUUAGCAGCUGAUAACUAAGUUAUUUCUUCUUUCUUUACAAACUGAACCCAUUGAACCGAGUGAUGGCAGACAGACUUGAAUUUGAAGAAAGGAAAUUUAUUCUAAAAUGCUACUGGAAGUAUGAAAAUGCAGUAGAAAUGCAAAGACAAUUUAAGAGGGAGUUUAACAAAGAACCACCUACACGACUUACCAUCACUCGAAUUAGAGAUAAGUUUGAAGCUGAUGGAACUAUUCAGGAUGUCCAUAAACCUGCAACAGUUGUUCAAUUGAAGGCAACCAUUGAACAUGAAUGUACGAAUAUCCCAAGGGAAUUGUUCCAUCAUGUGUGCUAUUCCAUUGCUUCGCGUUGUCAGCAGUGUCUGGAGCAGAACUGACAUCAGUUUGAGAACAUGCGAUAACAAGACAAUAGAAUGAUAUUUGUAGAAUCUUUUAUAUGAUGAAAAUUAUUCGAAUUAUAAUAAACCCCAAAUUUACAAUUAUUUAAAGUGUGUAUACAUUUUUUGCGACACCCUGUAGGUGAUAUAAGAAUUAUCAUAUCAAGUGUUAUGAAUACAUACAUUUUCCUCUGAGAACGAUAUAUUCUUUCAAUUGUUGUUUGAAUAAUUUUGCAUUUUUAGCAUUUUAAUUGCAAAUGUUUAUUUUGUAAAGAGUUUUUGUUUCAUUUCUUAUUUCGGUUUCCAAGCUGCAUUUCAGACAUU